rnacentral:rRNA from 1 species
GACGAACGCUGGCGGCGUGCUUAACACAUGCAAGUCGAACGGAAAGGCCUUUUCGGAGGUACUCGAGUGGCGAACGGGUGAGUAACACGUGGGUGAUCUGCCCUGCACUCUGGGAUAAGCCUGGGAAACUGGGUCUAAUACCGGAUAGGACUGCACUUUAGUGUGUGUGGUGGAAAGUUUUUUCGGUGUAGGAUGAGCCCGCGGCCUAUCAGCUUGUUGGUGGGGUAAUGGCCUACCAAGGCGGCGACGGGUAGCCGGACUGAGAGGUUGGUCGGCCACAUUGGGACUGAGAUACGGCCCAGACUCCUACGGGAGGCAGCAGUGGGGAAUAUUGCACAAUGGGCGCAAGCCUGAUGCAGCGACGCCGCGGGGGGGAUGACGGCCUUCGGGUUGUAAACUCCUUUCGCCAGGGACGAAGCGUUUUGUGACGGUACCUGGAGAAGAAGCACCGGCUAACUACGUGCCAGCAGCCGCGGUAAUACGUAGGGUGCAAGCGUUGUCCGGAAUUACUGGGCGUAAAGAGCUCGUAGGUGGUUUGUCACGUCGUCUGUGAAAUUCCACAGCUUAACUGUGGGCGUGCAGGCGAUACGGGCUGACUUGAGUACUGUAGGGGUAACUGGAAUUCCUGGUGUAGCGGUGAAAUGCGCAGAUAUCAGGAGGAACACCGAUGGCGAAGGCAGGUUACUGGGCAGUUACUGACGCUGAGGAGCGAAAGCAUGGGUAGCAAACAGG